CUGGGAUUGACCCACAAUAUCGAGCUGCCAUUGUGAAGGUAUAUUUGAAUGGAACACACAUUGGUUUGGAAUGGAGCUAACCUACUGAUGGUGCCUUAAAAAGCGACAACAGAGAGGAGAGAGCAGAAUGAGCUGUGCCCAUACCGUAGAUCUUUGUGUUCUUCACCCCAGGUCAGCCAUCUACUAAUCCUGCAGUGAUCUUUGAGAACUCGGAACAAAUAGAAGCUUUCCUGAAAGGCUCCUGUUGUUUCCUGCAGCAAUUUCCGACUCAGAGUCAAUAAAUUAAUUCAGUCUUGUGCUCAGCAAGAAGUUCGAGCUCAGCUCCAAAAAGUACAAAUGCACAACCCGUCGUUGCUGCUGUAAGCACUCUGUGUGCUGCUAGAAUGCCUUCAUACCGGGCUGCAAA